rnacentral:rRNA from 1 species
AUGAAUCCAAGAGUCAACCAGGAGUGGACCCCCUCUGAGGUAGAGGGGGCUAGAUCAAUCAUCGAUGGGCUCAACAACAAUUACUACAAUGAUGGCACCAGCCAUGGUAAGAACAAGAAGCAUGAGAUGAUGGACGAGCUCCAAACAUGGUUCCCUAGGAAGAGCAUGCAACAGGUAACAAACUUGUAUGUUGAUCUUGGUGCAGGGAUGCAUAUGUUGCAGUGUCCAAAGAAGGAGUGCCAUGUUACCAAUAGUGACCAUGGUGUCAAUUACACCGUGGAUGGCCCAAUGAGUAAAAACUUUGGAUUGCAAGAGGAGGCCGCAAUGGAAGGAACCGACUUUUUGUUUGGUUGUCCAUUGGAUAUUAGGCAAACCAUGGAUAGUCAAGAGGAGGUGCCGACGGUGGAGCCGAACAAGGUGGUGUUGGAGAAUAAGACGUGCAUCCACCAACCAGUGCUUGCACCACGUGCCAAGGGGUUUUGGACCCCUGAUGAACAUAGGCUCUUUCUCCAUGGCUUGAGCGUAUGUGGCCGUGGCAAAUGGAAGGACAUAUCAAAGCACUUCGUCACUAGUAGGACUCCGACCCAGAUUUCAAGCCAUGCACAGAAGUACUUCAUGAGGCUAAAGAGCAAAGGGUCAGGAAGCCAACGCUACAGCAUCAACGACGUGGAGCUCGAUGAUGCUAACCCAUGGAAAAUGGAGAAUAGCUUUAACUUCUGGCAAGCACUUGCCUUGCAAUCUACAGUUGGUGCUAAUAACCAAAAUUCAAGCUUCGAUUUGCAAACUCCUUCGAGUCCAUUUGUCACCAUGAACAAUAUACCCUAG